UACAGAGGUCUCAAGCGUUGUUCGGAAUUAUUGGGCGUAAAGCGCGUGUAGGCGGCUUUGCAAGUCGGGUGUGAAAGCCCUCGGCCCAACCGAGGAAUUGCGCCCGAAACUACCUUGCUUGAGGAUGGAAGGGGAGCGUGGAAUUCCUGGUGGAGCGGUGAAAUGCGUUGAUAUCAGGAGGAACACCGGCGGCGAAGGCGACGCUCUGGUCCAUUACUGACGCUGAGGUGCGAAAGCCAGGGGAGCAAACGGG
rnacentral:rRNA from 1 species